UACGGAGGGUGCGAGCGUUGUCCGGAAUCACUGGGCGUAAAGGGCGCGUAGGCGGUCCGUUAAGCGUGCGGUGAAAGCCCGGGGCUCAACCCCGGGUCGGCCGUGCGGACUGGCGGGCUGGAGCACUGUAGAGGCAGGCGGAAUUCCGGGUGUAGCGGUGGAAUGCGUAGAGAUCCGGAAGAACACCGGUGGCGAAGGCGGCCUGCUGGGCAGUGGCUGACGCUGAGGCGCGACAGCGUGGGGAGCAAACAGG
rnacentral:rRNA from 1 species